UAUGUUGCUAUGCAGUUUAUACGUCUCUUUCUAUUCACUCAGGACAGUGCAACAUUGAGGGAAAUUUCUCAAUUUGCGAAUUCGAAUGAACAGUUUACCGGAUGAGAAAAAAAAAGCAUUUUCGAUAUUGUAAGAUGCAGUAAAACAAUUUCUACAAAUAAAAAGUAUGAUGUGUAUUUGAAAAAUUAAAGAAUGGUGUAUUACAUAUGAAGUUAUUCCGUUGCAAGCAAGUGUAUCAUCCGUUGCAGCUUAUAUUAGUGGCCUUGUACAGCAAUCAGUAUCUGUAUCAGUUUAAAUAGCUCAUUUUUAUAGCAUAAAGUGGUAUCAAGAUUUCAGUUUAAUGUAUAAUUUGUGUAAAGACAAGCUUAUUCAGAUGAUGAUUGAAGGAGCGAAGAGAAUUGGAAGUCAACCAAUGCAAACAGUGAAGAAAGAACCAAAUACAGCAGAUCAUUUACAGAAGAUAGUAGACAGAAUUGGUACUGAUCGUUCUAAUUUACCGAAUGUUAGAUUUUGUGCAAUGAUGUUAGUUGGUUAUGCAAGAUUUUUACGCUACAGUGAGAUUGCAAUUUAAAGAUGUCUAACAUACAAAAUUUUGACACUUAUGUUUAUUUGAAUAUUGAAUCUGGGAAAACAGAUGUGCAUAGAAGGGGAACUAAUGUUAUAAUUUCUAGAACAAAUGUGUCUACCUAUCCAGUAGCCUGGUUAUUGACAUACAUUAAUUUAGCUAAGCUGUCUUUAGAUUCUGAUCACUAUGUUUUUCGUUCUGUUAAUUUUUUUUAAUCAAAAUAUUCUUAUAAGUUAGCAGAAUUAAAUCGUCCUAUAUCUUACACAAGGGUUAGGGAAUUACUUUUGAGCACAUAAACUGCGAUAGGUCUAGAUUUUAAACAAUUUUGUCUUCAUAGUUUGCGCAGCGGUGGUGCAAAAAACGGUGUUUCUGAUCGUUACAUUAAGGAACAUGAAAGGUGGCGUACCGAUUUUUGUAUACAAAGUUACGAGUUUUUUUUUAUGAAAUACCAGAAGAAUAAUUGCAAUUUGGACUGCAUACAUAUCUUUCUUUUGUUUAAUUGUGUCGUUUGGUUGCUGUCUCAUUGACGUAUAAACCACAUCUCCCUUUUAUUUCCAUAAAACAUUCAAGGACACAUUUUAAUAUAAAACUUCUCUUAUUCCAAUUUAUACUUAUAAUUCCGUUAAAGCGACCAAGAAGUGGGAAGUGGUUAUAUUUAACAGUUGCAAUGUAUAUUUACAAAAUUAUUUUUCUGAAAUAAUGAUAAACAAAAUUAAAGAAAUUUCCCUUACUUUCAUAUAUAAUAUUCAAGGACACAUUUUAAUAUAAAACUUCUCAUAAAAUUUAUACAUAGAAAUCCGUUAGAGAGACCAUGAAUGUCGUAAAAGCGUAAUUGACAAGUGGAGCGUAUAACAUCAAUAUACGUACGGUCGUUCAAAGUGGGACAUGAUUACACGUGUGUAUUUAACAGUUACAAUGUAUAGUUUGAAAAUCUGUUUUGCUAAAAGAAUAAUAAACAUUUCCAAAAUA